rnacentral:rRNA from 1 species
CUAACCAGGAUUCCCCUAGUAACGGCGAGUGAAGCGGGAAGAGCUCAAAUUUGUAAUCUGGCGGCUUACGGUCGUCCGAGUUGUAGUCUGGAGAAGCGUUUUCCGCGUCGGACCGUGUACAAGUCCUUUGGAACAGGGCGUCGUAGAGGGUGAGAAUCCCGUCUUUGACACGGACUGCCGAUGCUUUGUGAUGCGCUCUCGAAGAGUCGAGUUGUUUGGGAAUGCAGCUCAAAACGGGUGGUAAAUUCCAUCUAAAGCUAAAUAUUGGCGAAAGACCGAUAGCGAACAAGUACCGUGAGGGAAAGAUGAAAAGCACUUUGGAAAGAGAGUUAAACAGUACGUGAAAUUGUUGAAAGGGAAACGUUUGAAGUCAGUCGCGUCUCCCGGGACUCAGCCUUGCCUUGUCGCUUGGCGUAUUUCCUGGGGCGACGGGCCAGCAUCGAUUUUGACCGUCGGAGAAAGGCUUUGGGAAUGUGGCACCUUUGGGUGUGUUAUAGCCCUGGGUCGCAUGCGACGGUUGGGAUCGAGGACCGCAGCACGCCUUUUUGGCCGGGGUUCGCCCACGUAACGUGCUUAGGAUGCUGGCGUAAUGG